GCGGAUGUGGCAGACUGUUGAUGUUGCUGGAAAGGCUGCCGCCAGCCCCCAGCUGCUCCGUAUGGACGACCAGGGCUUGGCGUCGAGCAAGGGCUCCAUGUCUGGUGCUUCCAUGAGGUGCCCAGGUUGCCACGGUUCAGGCAUGAAAGUGAUUAUCCGUUAGCUGGGUCAAGUGCUAUUAUGUGUGUUGUCUCUUAGGUCUGUUUCAAGUGCUAUUAUGUGUGUUAUCUGCUAUCUUAUUCAUGUGCUGUUGGUGGAGCUGGCUAUGAGGUAGCCAUAGCCGCCGGAUCUGUCCGGCUGACAGCGGUGGCCGUCGUCUUCGACAUGGUGGGUUUAGAUGACUGGCGAUCAUGAUGGCGUCCCAGGUGCUGAAUGUUGAGGUCCUUGGACUCGCCACAAUCUUUGGAAACUGCACUAU